rnacentral:rRNA from 1 species
UACGUAGGGACCGAGCGUUGUCCGGAAUCAUUGGGCGUAAAGAGCGUGUAGGCGGCUUGCUAAGUCUUGCGUGAAAUCUCGGGGCUCAACCCCGAGCGGUCGUGGGAAACUGGCAGGCUAGAGUGCGGGAGAGGAGAAUGGAAUUCCUGGUGUAGCGGUGAAAUGCGCAGAUAUCAGGAAGAACACCAAUGGCGAAAGCAGCUCUCUGGGACGGUACUGACGCUGAGACGCGAAAGCGUGGGGAGCGAACAGG